rnacentral:misc_RNA from 1 species
CUGCCCCGUUGCUCGACACUCGGCAGCGGAACUGGUCGCAAGCGCGAGGCUUAUCGACUCACCAGCCCUUCCCAUGUAUGCUGCAUAGAAAUGACCCUGCAGUGCGAUGAGCUCUACCGCGCGGCUGACAAGAUGGCUAAAGCGUCGCAGCGCACACAGUCACGGAUCCGCGCGGCCGUGGAGGCGCAACGGCAACGCGCAGCUCUUCACCAACUGGACAGCCGUGCAGAGUUUUUUCCCGACGAUGAAGCAUGUCCGACCUACUCUCUCACGAACGCACUCCCAGGGUGUGUUUGUCAACCUUCUACAGCCACCUCACCCCCGCUACAACUUCUCGAGCACCAGCGGGAGGGCGUGCGCUGGUUACUGGCCCUCCACGAACUCGGCCUGCACGGCAUUAUGGCAGAUGAAAUGGGCCUCGGCAAGACAGUUCAAGUGGCCGCCUUCCUUGCCGCCCUCGCGAAGACCGGGGUGCUGGGCACCUUCCUCAUUGUUGUCCCUCUCUCCACAAUGGAGAGCUGGAAAAAGGAGCUGCUGCGCUGGGUGCCGUGGAUGCACGUCACCGAGUUCCGCGGCACACACGAGAUCCGUGCUAAGCUAAGAUCGCGGCUGCGGAGCCGACACCGCCGUGCCUUUGAGCGGCAGGAAACUCUGCGGGCGCAGUGGGCACAGGGUGUGCCCGUGAGAGUGCUGGCGAAGACUGUCGGUGGAGUCGUGCUCGCGAGCUACGAAUCUGUCAUGAUGGACCAUGGCGCGCUUGCUCGCCUUAUCCACUGGGAUAUCACCAUCGUUGACGAGGCGCACCGCUUGAAGAAGCUCCAGUGCAAGCUCCUGCAGACUCUCCACAAAGCCGCGUGCCCCAUGCGCCUGAUCCUCACGGGCACCCCUUUGCAGAACGACCUGACGGAGCUGUGGACGCUACUAGAGUAUGUCGGGCCGCAGAUUUUCAGUCACGGCGAUGCCGAUCAACGGCGUCUUCGAGAAGCAGUGACGGCACUCUCAUGUGGAUGUGAUCGACGAGUCAAUGAGAGAAGAGAGGAGCGACAUGGCGAUGGCUCAGGUGGGAAAGAGCCCACAGAAAGGCAUACGGCAGCGGCCGUUCGAUUCCCACAUGCGCCUCAAGCGAAUACCGGCGCCAACGCCGGCGAAGAGCAAGGUUUACUCCUCGCGUGUCUGAAAACAGUGCUGCAGCCAUUUGUGCUACGCCGCAUCAAGGCCACUGUCGGCAUCAAGCUCCCGCCUAAGUACGACCUCGUUCUUCCCACCCCGCUCACACCGAAGCAGCAGCUGCUCUACGCCCGGGUUCAAUCGGAAGAACGCUAUAGCAACAGCCGUCUCACGCACCUCCGAAAAUGCUGCAUCCAUCCGUUUCUCAUCCGUGACUUCUAUGCAAAUAGCUGUGAACGGCGGCGCACACCCCAGUCGCCAUCCUCAGCGCGCGAGCGACUCGAGUUCAUGGUGAAGGCGUCAGGAAAGCUGAAACUGCUUGACGCCAUGCUGCCGGAACUGCGCCGCCGUGGCCAUCGUGUCCUCUUGUUCUCUCAAAUGACAAAUGCGCUCGAUCUCGUCGAGGAAUACCUAUCCUUGAAGAAUGCGGUCCUCGAAGAGGCGCUCCUUGGAGGCGAUGAGACAGAAGCAGUGGUGGCGAUGGACAGAUGCCGCGAAAGCGGUUCGCCCAAGGAUAGCACUGGCCGCAAGCGACUUGAAACGAUGCUGUCUCAGAUGUUGGUGUACACGCGCCUGGACGGGAGCAGCUCUGCAGAAGCCCGCAGCGAGGCUAUUCGUCACUUUCAAGGGCCGCCUAGCUCUUCCAACCAACCGGGCAAUGGUGCGGAGUAUGAUAGCGCACCAUUUUCGGUGAAUGCUGCAGCUGGAGGUGAUUCUGUAGAGGUGUUCCUUGAGCACGACAGGCAGGCGGAGAAGCCCCCCACCCCUGCCGACCGUGUUCUCCCACUGGCGAAGCCGAGCUGGCGCCGUCUGGGGAAGGGGCUCCGCACUCGAGGCAUCGAAGAGGAUGAUGAAGUCUUCGAGGAGCCAUUUUUGUCGGCUCGCGCGAGCACCCCUGCAGGGGUUCUUGCCGAGAGGAGCGUGAACGAGACGCCGCCUCACUUAUUCAAGGCGACGGGCAGUGUAAAGGCAUGCUAUGCCCAUCUGGUGACGCGGAAGAGAUCGGCUAGUGCUGGAAGUGACAGCCUCUCAACCCACAAGUCUUCCAUCACAUCCAGCAAGUGUAAAGCAGAUGUUGCUUCAUGGUCAUCAGACCUCUCCCUGACCUCAACUGCCACCAGUGCUGCCAUCGCAGCGCAGCCGGGUGUGUUUCUGUUUCUCAUCAGCACCCGCGCCGGUGGCACCGGCCUCAACCUCACCGGCGCCGACACCGUUAUCCUGCUGGACGGUGAUUUCAAUCCGCACAACGACUUGCAGGCAGUGGAUCGGUGCCACAGAAUCGGGCAGCGGAAUCCCGUCGCCGUCUACCGAUUGGUCAGCCCCCACACCGUGGAAGAUGAACGGCACAGCGGGAUUGUGGAUCGGAAACUGAAGCUAGAGCACUUGGUGCUUGGGUGUGAUGGUGCAGGGUGCAUAUCACAGCGGUGCUGCACUACGAGUGGUGACGUGGGCACUCGGCCACCACCGAUCCCGGCCGCGGAUGUCCUUCGAUGUGCGGCGGCAGCAGUAUGUGCCGAGCCUCCGAAAAAGAGGGCGAGAUCUGGUUCAUCAGUGUCCUCAUCCAAGAGGCAGGCACUGACCGCCGGCGAACUCCGCCUGCUUCUCGAUCGUGCGUGGCUGCAACACGUGAUGCCGCACAGGAGCGCGUAGCAGUUCCGUUGUGAAUACUCGGUGGUGUUUCUUGUAUUUAGAAUAGACGCGCCAACCGCUGCGUGGUCAUUCCGACUGCGUUACCAAUCUAG